UACAGAGGGGGCAAGCGUUAUUCGGAAUUAUUGGGCGUAAAGGGCGCGUAGGCGGCUUUUCAAGUGGCGGGUGAAAUCCCUCGGCUUAACCGGGGAACUGCCUGCCAGACUGGAUUGCUUGAGGCCGGGAGAGGUGAGUGGAAUUCCCAGUGUAGCGGUGAAAUGCGUAGAUAUUGGGAGGAACACCAGUGGCGAAGGCGGCUCACUGGACCGGUACUGACGCUGAGGCGCGAAAGCGUGGGGAGCAAACAGG
rnacentral:rRNA from 1 species